UACGUAGGCAGCGAGCGUUGUUCGGAGUUACUGGGCGUAAAGGGUGCGUAGGCGGCUUUUUAAGUUUGGUGUGAAAUCUCCCGGCUCAACUGGGAGGGUGCGCCGAAUACUGAGAGGCUAGAGUGUGGGAGAGGAAAGUGGAAUUCCUGGUGUAGCGGUGAAAUGCGUAGAUAUCAGGAGGAACACCGGUGGUGUAAACGGCUUUCUGGACCAUAACUGACGCUGAUGCACGAAAGCGUGGGUAGCAAACAGG
rnacentral:rRNA from 1 species